CAGCUCAGAACAAACGCUGGCGGCGUGCAUAACACAUGCAAGUCUAACGGGAAAGUCGGCUUCGGCUGGCUAGUACCGUGGCGAACGGGUGAGUAACACGUGGGUAAUCUAACCUCGAGUUUGGGAUAACCUUGCGAAAGCGGGGCUAAUACCGAAUAAGACCACGUCCUGUCCGCAGGGCGCGGUAAAAGGUGGCCUCUUCCUGAAAGCUAUCACUUGAGGAUGAGCCCGCGGCCUAUUAGCUAGUUGGUAGGGUAACGGCCUACCAAGGCGACGAUGGGUAGCCGGCCUGAGAGGGUGUACGGCCACACUGGCACUGAGAUACGGGCCAGACUCCUACGGGAGGCAGCAGUGAGGAAUAUUGCGCAAUGGGGGAAACCCUGACGCAGCGACGCCGCGUGGGCGACGAAGGCCUUCGGGUCGUAAAGCCCUUUUGGCAGGGACGAGAGAGGACGGUACCUGCCGAAUAAGUCUCGGCA
rnacentral:rRNA from 1 species